UAACUCAGAAACAGAAAGUCAAAUACUGCAUGUUCUCACUUAUAAGUGGGAGCUAAAUGCUGAGCACACAUGAACAUACAGAGUAGAAAAAUAGAAACUGGAGACUCCAAAAGGUGGGAGUGGGGAUAGGAGUGGUAUGGGGAUGGAAAAGUUACCUGUCAGGUACAAUGUUCAUGAUUUGGGCAAUGGGUGCACUAAAAGUUCAGACUUCACCACUAAGCAAUAUAUCCAUGUAACAAAACUAUACUUGUAUUAACCAAAUCUAUAAAAAUAAAAAUUUAAAAUUAAACCCUUUCAAGAAAACUAAAUUUAACAGGCAGGCAGCUUCCCUGGAUAGGUGACAAUUCCAAAUGGAAUGGCUUUAAUAUGGCUUAAUUAGGUCUUGAUCUACUACAGCACAAAUGAGCACAAAGUAAACUCCUUUAUGAAAUAUUAGUCCCUAACUUUAUAAAUCUUAAUUUUGUCAUCUCUAUAGUAAGGAGAAACAAAAUAACUACUUCAUAAGGCUAUUGUGAGAAUCAAAUUAGAUAAUUCUUUUAAAAUGCUUAGCACCGUUUCUAGCAUAAACUCUAUAAGCAGUAGAUUUUAGUAUUAUAAUUAUUAGCUAAACACUAGCUAUUGUUAUCACAUGCUUGAAAAUUCAAACCUGGUUCACAGAAGGUGCUCAAUUGCUUUCUUAUUUAAUUUGUACUGAACAUAAAUUCAGUUUUAAUAUGGAUGGAAUUACAAGUUCAUAGUAACAUAUGCCACAUUUUUGCUCCAAAACACAGAAAGCUCAAAAACAAUCUUGCUUUUUCACUGACAGCACUAUUACUAUGCAAUUUUGCUGCAUGUAAGUAUAAGCUGAGAUUUUUAAAAAAUUCACUGAAUAAUCCACCCAAAGAUAAACUCUAUUACUAGUAUAUUUUCACUAAUCAGUUACAUAUUGAUAUUAAUAAAUAACAGACAUAUACAUGCAUUUCUCAUUCUGUUGUUUCUCACUUAAUUUAAAAAAAUAGGAAAACAUGGUGCAUGUUUGGUGGCCUCUGGUUACUCAAGGAAAAAAAAAGAAUGAAAAUACAAAGUUGUUACUAUCCACUGAAAAUCAGUGUUUAUAAGUAAACAAAUUGAAAGUCGUUGACUUUGAAGAUGGUUCUGAAAACCAGGUCAAUACUUAGUAUUUUAAGUAGCAGUUUUAUAAGAUAUUCACUGCAUGAUAGAUUUCAGGCUGUUUCACGUGCAUGUGUCCAAUGUCAUUCAAGAUUGUAAAUAAAUCUGGCCUUUCAGAAGCAAAAUGAAUGACAAAAAUUUUCUGGCUUAUAGCAAGUCUUCCAGGUUAGGCACGACAAAAGUUCAAUGAUAUCAUCAAGGCUAUCAAUCCAUCUGUAAUGGCAUACUGCAGUCUCUUCAACAAUUAAAUAUGAUGUUUGUAAGAGCAGUGUUGCAUUUCUGCUUGUAGGACAAAAAACACAAUAGAGCUGCAAACACAUAAAAGUUCUGUUUAAAUUAGCUACACAAAUAAGUUAUUAAUUUUUAUUUUUAAAAAAAUGUGUGGAUUUGGGAUCCUUAAUAUUUGAUCAUUUUCCUAAAACAGACUUCUAUUUUAAGUUGUGUGAUCCAUUUAGUCUGUGGUUAUACAAUUUUAGUGAUAGCUUAUACUGCUUUCAGGGAUGUGUCAAAUAAACAGAACAGAGGUGGCACAACAUAAAAUGAAGAGGCAAAAGGAGAAGAGUUUCAAUUUAAUUCACAUCCUUCUCCAAACCAAAUAUAUUUGAUUCAAUUUAGCAUGUAUAUUUUUGCUUAUUUUUUUAAAAAAAGAUUGGGUGUAUUUGCUUUGUGAAAAUUAUCCAAAAAGUGCAAACACAUCUUAUGUAUCAUAGUCAUUUUCAAAUCAAUAGACUUCAUGAAGUGAUGACCUAAGCUUUUUGUUGCAAUUAGCUUUUCAACCAGUCAAUUUCUCUUUAGGUCUCAGGCUUAAUGUAAUUCUCUGUAGGUUAAAGUGAGCUAUGGCAUUAAUCAACAUCUCUAGAAAAUUCAUAUAUGCCCACAAAUAAUUGGGAAGUGCAUUUAAACAAUGUUUUGGUCUUUAUGCUCUCAUUGUUUAGAAUAUAAAAUUAUACAUGAAGUAUAAUAAAUAUAUUAUCUGUUCUGAAGAAUUUAGAUAAUACUAAUGGAAUAACUGUUAUAAAUGGUUUUAAUUUUAGGAUUUUACUUAAAAUGAUGUAUAUGCAGUUCCAUUUCAAGACCUGAGUAAGUUGUUUUAUUCUUAGUCACUAGGGACAAACUGAGAGCCUCAAAAAAGAAAAAUCUUGACCUUCAUGAGUCUCCUAAGGCUCAACCAACUUCCUCCUUAUACUAUUCAUCAUUGAUAGUGGAGAUAAAGAAAGGAGGAAUGGACAAUCAUAGUUACCAGGCAACAGAAUGUUGAACUUCAGGCACUGAAGAUAUAGGUUUGAAUUCUAGUUCUACCACUUCUGUGAGAUUCUGUGCAAUUCACUUCACUAUUGUGAACCUCCUCUUACUCAUUUGAAAAAGAGGAUGAUGAUACUUCAUAGAAAUAUUAAGAAAUACAACUGUGAUACUACCUAUGAAAAUACCUUGUAAAUUUUGAAACCCAGCAUAAGUGCACUCACAGGUACUAAACACAAAUGCUUUAUAUUUUUUCUUUCAUAUUUCUACUAGUGGACUUUUAAAAGAGUUGCAGCAGAAAUUCACCUAAUAAAGGGUGUUAUGGAAAAAAUCAAGUCACAUUUCGGUAGGAAAGAAACUUACAUUAAACUAUGGCUACUUUAAAUAAGUGAAACCAGAAUAUUGAAAACUGAGCUAUUAUAUGAUAACGUAGCCACAAAAUGAAGCCAACAUUUCUAAAGAUAAAAUUAUUUUUAAAGUACUUUUCAAAAGGUGAUAAAAACACUAAAACUAAAGUUAUGUUGACUUGAAGCAUAUGUCAUCUCUCACUAGACUUGUAACAAAUCAGUAAAUUAACUCUAAAAUGAUUUACCUUCUUACUGUAGUCUUUAUCUGUUAAUAAUUAGGUUAUAUUUAAAAUAUUUGGGGUGUUUUUUAAGCUAUUUUUAACUGAAAUUUUCAGUUAAAUUAAUAAUCACAUACUAACUAUUGUGACAUGCUCAGGGCUAUGGGGUUUGGACUGCAUCUGAAACUGACAUUCUGUAUUUACUUGGAUAAUUCACUUAUUCUUUUUAUUCUUCAGUUUCUUCAUCUGUAAAAUGAGUGUAAUAGAAAUCAUACCUACUCCAUAAGUUGUUGUGAAGAUUAAAUGAAUUAUUACAUGUUGAAUGAACAGUCUUAAACUGCAGAAAUAUGGCAUACAUGAAAGAAAAAUGGGGCAAAACCUACUAUGCCACCUUCAGAACCAACCCAUUACAUGUGAAGAACAUUCUUUCAAUAACUUGAGAACCUUCUUGAACCCCAAGUUUCGCUGCCUUGACACUUUGAGAAGGCUGGAGAUGAUUGCUAGCCCAGAGAACAAUGCUCAAAAGUAGGUUCAGCAUGAGGUCAUCAGGAGGAUGUGUUGGGCUGGGUAACUGUAUUUAACUUAGAAGAUGAGCAAGGGCAAGAACACCACCAUGACCACCUCCAAGGUAGAGAAAAAUAACUUUGUUUCCUGAAAUAAUCUGUUAUUUAAAGAGCGAAUGAGAACUGGGUGUCUGGAUUGGGAGGCAAGGCCUGGCCAAUAAAAGCAGUAAACAGAAAUUGUUACUCUGUCUAGAAAAUAGCACCUAGAUUUUAAACCAAACUACUUUGCAAAGCCUGAACUAUACAGGGAGGAAGGAAACAAAAUCAGAUUCCCUAUGGCCCUCCUUCAGCCAGCUUUAGUUCUCUUUCACAGUUCCAGCAUAAUAUGGUUUUAAGAGUGAAUAGUAUUCAACACAUGCUUUGCAUAAGGACUCAUGCUUUCUUUACCAUAAUCCUGGCAGACUUUAGGGUCUACAUGUUUCAAAAUGGAAAAUGUAGCUCAGUGAAGUUGUCAUUUGCUCAUGGUCACUGAAUUGGUAAGCAGAAAUGGCAGAGCUGAAACCCAGUAAUUCUUUAGAUUCUUAGUGUAAUGAUAUUUUAACUGCACUUACAUUUUUUAUGCUGUGUAUGUAUAUAUUCUUUCAUGUUCUCCCAACUGUUUGUUAUGUUCUUUAUCCUGAUCAGUCUGAUUUCUCUGAUCCUGCUGUCAUGGGGUAAUUGCUCCUCUCUCAGUCGAAGACACCUAAUGAUGCAUCAUUUGCUGAUCAUGAUAUUGCAGGCCAAGGUUACGAUCAACUACUAAGGGGACUUGCUGGCUUGCUUCCCAUAAAGUACAGGGCAGUGUGAACCCUGAGGAUCUGAGACAGGUCUCAGUUAAUUUAGAAACUUUAUUUUGCCAAGGUUGAGGAUGUGUGCCCGUGACUCAGCAUCAGGAGAUCCUGAUGACUGACAUAUGCCCACGGUGGUCAGAGCACAGUUUGGUUUUAUACAUUUUAGGGAGACAUGAGACAUUAAUCAUCAUAUGUAAGAUGAACAUUAGUUCAGUCCAGAAAGGCAGGACAACUCCAAGCCAAGGUGGAACAACUAAAAGUGGGGAGGGGGCUUCCAGGUCAUACAUAGGUAAGAGACAAAUAGUUGCAUUCUUUUGAGUUUCUGAUUAGCCUCUCCAAAGAGGCAAUUAGCUAUGCAUUUAUCUCAGUUAGCAGAGGUGUGACUCUGAAUAGAUCAGGAGGCAGGUUUACCCUAAGCAGUUCCCAGCUUGACUUUCCCUUUAGCUUAGUGAUUUUGGGGCCCCAAGAUUUAUUUUCCUUUCACAAAAAAUAGGAAUAACAACACAAACAAAUCCUCAAAAUGAAGAAAGUAAAUUGUGAUACUGUCACAACAAUAGAACUGGAGAAAAGCUGGGGGAGUCUAGCACUGAAGACCAGAAGAGAUAAAAGCUGGAGUGUUCAAAUUUGAAAGAAAUCAGUGAAUUUCAGAGAAAGGGAAACCGACAUGCACAUGAUAAAAAUUAAUUUCCAUUUCUUGUUUUAUAUGUCCCUAAAGUAGCAUCAGGGAGGAGAAGCAAUUUGGCAAAUGUAUCUUUUGUGUUUAAACAUCAAUUUGAUUUGUUAUAGAUACUUGUCUUUCAAAUAUUACAUUUUCCAUAACUAGAAAAGACUAGAAAAAUAAACUUUCUAAACUGUUUAUAAGCUAAAUUUUAUUUUGACUUUUAAAACAGAAAAUUUCAGUAAGAGUAAAGAUCCAUAAUAAAAGGAAAAAAUAGACACUGUUCUUAAUCUUUCAUUAACUAAGACCAGGAUCUUUCAUAAACAUAAUUAACUAGAAUUGGCAUAUGAUAGAUCCAAAUGUAAAUGAUCUUCAGUAAAAAGGAGCAAGUAACCAAGAGAAAUGUGACUUAGAACAUACACCUACACAUAUAAACACACACAUAUAGUAUUAAUAUAGCAGGCUAAAAAUAGGAGAAGACACUUGCUUUUUGGAAGCUUGGGAAGUGAAAAGUUCCUUUCACCUUUCACCUGCAGCCUCAUCUCCCACAUGAUAGCCACUAUGGAUCACGAUCCAUUGUCUGGUGCCCAAAAGCUAAAAGCCAACUAAUUACUGCUGAUGGUUGAAGAAUUCUAUUUGGGCAAAGGAAAGUAGUUGGAUUGAGAUCAUUAUCCAGUAGCUCACAACUCUUUAAACUGCUGGUCAACCUGCAUGUCUUUGAAACUAAACAUCUAAAGCCUUUUAUAAUUGCAGAGAAAGUUUUGGUAUAAAAUUCAGCUCCUGCUAUGUAGGCAGAUUAGUUCACUUCUGCAUACAUGCUAAGUGCCCAUCCUUCCAAUCUUCUUCCUCCAGCCCAUCUCUUUCUAAUACCCAUUGACACUGUAAAUUCCAUUCCUGCUGGAGACAGCUGUGGCUAUAAAACUUGACUCAUGAAAAUAUUAGUGAACAUUUCUAUUUUAUCUCUGUGCUUUUCUUCCAGUUUCUUUAUGCAAACCAAGAACUGGCUGCUUCCUGCCUUUAAAAAGGGAAACCAAAGAAUCUCCCCAUUUACCUCUCUUAUGGCCCUUGUGAAAUAUCUGUCACUUGGGAAAGUAAACACAUUUACAAAAUUUAUCAUAGGAAAUCGAACCAUUUGCUGAAUCCCAAAAUAUAAGAUAUGCCUAAAUAUUUAAUAGUGAAUUAUCUAGGCUUAGAAGUUAACUGGUUAGGGAAUGGACUUUUUAGGAUCUCUACUCAGCAAUUUGAAUUUUUCCCCAAAGUCACUAAUUUAAUUAUUGAAACAUACUCAUCUUCAUUGUGUAUAACUCUUGUAGUGAAUUGCUCAUGUCUUUUCUAAAAACUGGAAAUAAUGUUGCUUCUUCCUCUGGCAACUUUUUAAAAAUUAUUUUUCUGUUUCCUGCCUCAGGCUUCAUUCCUUAUACCCAUUACAUCUAUUUAUAUCCCCAGUAACUUCCUUUUCAAAGUCCCCUCAUGUUGACAGCUAUUUCCAUACUUUUAAAAAUACAUUCUUCAAGUUACCAAGUCUCCUUAUUGUGAGCCUAAUGGCCUUUUCUUCACUGUAAUUUACUUUGAAUCACGCCAGGUGAAAAAGAAGGCUUCUGAGUUGAUGCCAGAUUCUUCACAUGAUACAAAUGCUGUCUCUUUGUCUGUAUGUUUUCAUUCCGCCAAGCCCAUUUUUUUCUUGGUUUCCAGACUAAUUGUCCUUAAAAGGCAUUUGCAUCUUAUUAUUCUCUUGCUCUGUCGAUAGCUCUCCCUCUAUUAUUGCAUCAAAUCUAAACUCCUUUGCUUGCCUUGCAUGGUACUCCAACAGUUUGUGCACAAAGUUACUUGUUGAUUGCCAAAUUUAAGCAAGAUUAACCUGGCAGCUUGCGUGCUGCAGCCAUUUCUCAUGAAGAAUGAGAAUAUAUAAAAUAUUAAAAGAGAUGAAAAAUGCCUUAUUAUAUUUCAGUUGUGUUCAUUUUUAAACUCAAAUUUCAGGUUAUCAUACAUUAGAAUUUCAGUCCUGAUAAAAUACAUUACUUAAAGGGGGAGAAAAGGCUUAUGGUAGCUGAAAAGUUCAUCGCCUCAUUUUGCUAAGUUAUUUAUUAUAGGUUUCCCCAGUUGCCUUAUUUUUAGAAAAGAUUUGUUGGCUAAGAGUGAUCAGAUGCAAAGCUCAAAACUACGUAUACAUAAGUUAUAUGUUAUCACAUAUAACAUAGGGAAAUGGUUACCAUUAUGAACUCAAUUUAUUUGUUAAUAUUUCAUUAAUUUCACGUUAGUAUUUCUUCCUCAAAGCCUAACCCACAGAGAAUUUCAUUACCACUACCAUUCAGAUAUCAAAUCUCUUUCUAAAACAAAGUAAAGAAAAAUCUUUUAUAAAAAUGGAUCUUUAGUUUUAUAGACAAAAGAAACUGUGAAAAAGAAGAUUAAAUCUUCAUCAGUUUAACUCACAAAGCAAACGCAUAGGGAAAUAGCAUUAUUCAACAUUUAAAUUGUUUUAAAUCAGUCUUGGGAGUUUUUUAGUCUAUCCAAGGUAAAGGAAUUCUAUACCCAGUUAUGCUAAAUUCCUAAAUAGUAGAUUCAAGUAAAUCCUCCAUUGAAAGAAAUAAAUCACUUCUGUGCUGAGGAAGCUCUAUUAAGAUACAAUCUGAAAGAUCUAUCGAGACCUGAAGUGAAAUACAUACAUUUUUAAAAGGAUAAACAUAGGGGGAAAUGUCUCUAAUGCUUUGUAGUGAAUAUAUCCACCCAAAUGUUCCAGAGCUCCCUGAUUUAUUCUCAAGUAACAACCUUGGCUCUUUAAACAUUGUUUAUGAUGGUCAAAUGAGAACAUAUACAGAGUUUCAAUACAAGCUAUCUGCCUAGUAGACUUCCUUUUGAGAGUAAAACACUCUUAAAGCAUCAUUUACUUUCACAAACAGCAUAUGCACACCAUGUGGCACCCAUUCUUGUUAACACCAAAGUAGCAGUUUGAGCUUAACAGCUUGGGAGCUCUGUUUAUAAUAAUAGUAAUACUCGGUGUCAAGUCCUCAGAGUUUCAGAUGUCAAAGGUGAUCAUGAACAUAAAUGCAAAUUCCCCAAAUCUGCUCUCCUGGGAAAACGAUUCUUGCCAAGGCCAAAGAAGUCAGUAGACAUACAAAUACUUGGUCUCCAGCUUCUAAUAAGCCCAGGAAUUGUCUUUCCAAUUUCACUGCAUCACCUUCAUCUGGUUCUAAUGUAUACACAUGUCUAGUGAAUUAGUUCCCCUUGGGGGAAAAUUUUGUUGUCUCAAGAGCUUGAGAUUUUCAAUGAAGUGCCAAUGAUCUGAUACAAAUUGUUGAAUUUUUUAUUAUAACUGUUCCCUUCUUUUUAUACGAGCCUGUUUACUUUUUGAGCACCCUGAAACCUUCUAGCAUUUCAGAAUAAUGUUUAAAACAUUGCAUUAUUAAGAAACUUUAAAAUUACAGCUGUGAAAACAGACCUAUGUCAUUAUAAUCAGUGAGAAAGUCCCUUAACUGGGAUUUCAGAAUAUAAAAGGAGCACCUGCAGAGAAUUGGCAGGGUGAGAACCAAAGAGAAAAGAGAGAAAGAAACAGGAAAAAAAAUUCAUCAAGCAAAGAGAAUGGGGUGUUUCUAUUCUUGACAAUCCAUUUGAAAAAAUGAAAGUGAGUCAGUAUUUGAGAAGAAAACUUAUUUUAUGGGGGAGGGAGGGUAUAGUUACUUACUGCAUUAGCUUACACAAUCAUUUACUAUAUCUAUUAAAUCACUUAUACUUUUCCAUUUUAAAUAGCUAUUAAUCUAUCUGUUUUACCUAUAGACUGUGAGCUCUUCUAGUGUCACAGCGUGUGUGCAUCUGACAAACCAGCACCUAGUAUAUAGUAGAUAUUCAGUAUUUGUAGUUGAAUAAAUGAUAGAGACUAGAAAUAAUAUGGAAAACAUAUUUUUAUCAGACUAAGAUACAGAAGUAGGAAAAUGUUCAGCGAAGGAAAAAUAUUCUUCCAUAUAAGCAUUGCAUUAAUGGAAAAAAGUGUUCAAUAUGCAUUUACAUGCUCUGCUAAAACAACCACAAAGAAUUAGCAAAUUCUGUAACACUCAUUUGGGGAACCCUCAUGUCUCAGGAUAGCCUGUGUGUGUCCCACAGUGUGCAGUUUUUCACUGGUCAUUGAAUUCCCUGGGUUUUAGGAGUAAAGGAGGCAGAUAAUAGUAUUACUGUUUCUGUGAUUUGGUUUUGUAGAAUGUUGUCCUGAUAAGUGAGGAAGAUGAGACAGGCAAAAGUCCUCCUGAAAGCAUAGUUCAGAUAAGUCCAACUUAUCAGGAGAGAGAUUUCAAAAAGGAGUUGUUGGACUGACGGACAGAGCAAGUAGUGUCCAAUUUCAGUUGAGGCCCAAGCAUGACCUCUUAUGUCUCUUUGCCUGUCCUGGUUUGUCAAACUUCCCAGUCCUCUCAGAGUUGAUAAGGCAUCUUCUUCGGUUUCCUCGAGGUGUAUAAACGAUGGCUGCUCCUCUUACAUUCUUCCAUGUCUUCCACCAUGAAAAACAUGACCUCUUUUUAGUUUGUUCCCAUUAUAACAUGGUCAUUUAUUUUCUUUUCCUUUCCUUUUAAUCCAAACUUUUUUGGCUUAAACUUCUCUACUUGCCCAUCAACAUUUUACUUUUCUACCCACUGGGCUCUGGCUUCCAAUGACCUCCUAAUUGCCAGAUCUAUGGACACUUUUAGUACUCAUUGUAAUGAUGUCUCUGUUGCAUUUGAUACUGUUGAUUCCUGCUUCAAUCAUUAUACAAAAACGCUGACAAUAACAGGCUAAUUAUGAGCAUUCAUAUAAGUGCUUAGGAGAACUUUUUAAAAAUAGUAUGGGUUCUACAAAAUGUUCAAUAUUAUUAUUAUUUUAUUCAGUUAUCUUUGGUAUUCCUUUGUGUCCAUCCUUUUGAUUGCAGGUGUCCCUCAUCUAGUGUCCUCAUCACCCACACACUCUUGCUGGAUAAUUUUAUCAGUCUUUUGAUUUCAAGAACUAUUGUGUUAUUACUACCAUAUAUAUAUAUAUCUUUAGCCCAGUGCUCUGCUAAUCUUUAUAUUUAUAUAUCUAACUUCCUGCUGUAAAUCCCCAUCUCGACUGGCAAAUGUCUCCUGGGGGUACAGUCGUUCCUUGUUGGAAACCACUAGUUAACUCAUACUUGGUUAUUUGUAUCUUUCCUCAGGUGACUAUAGACGUCCUGUGAGCCAACACAAUGUCUUCUUCAUUCCUAUGUUCCUCAGACACAGCACAGAGCCACACGAACGGAAGCAUAAAAACAACUUACAAUUCUCAAUUUAGAAGAUCUUACUUUAAUGGGAGCUCAUAUUUAUACUCCUCCCAAGACACACACACAAUAGUCUCUGUACAUACCGUUAAAUUUAGUCCUUUUUUCUUUUUCAAAAAGGAAGCAUCUGGAAUGCUUCAAUAACGAAAAAAGUACAUGAUAUGUUAAAUAUGCAGUGCCAAAGAAACACUCGGGAGAAAGUCCAGCAUGCAAUUGGAAAUUCAAGGCUGCUCAUCAGUGGAGUAGCAAGUCUGAAAACAUUUGUCAACUCUGCUUGAUCUUUCCACAUACCUCAUCGGUGAGUUCAGAAAAUUGAGACAAAAUAAUAGGUUGAAAUUUGAGGCAACUGUUCAGGACUCUUUACCUUUUCCUCCUCCUUGCUUGUUAACAGUCUGCUUUACUGUGAUCCCUGUGUCUAACAGAACUUAAAAUCUUAGUUUUGUGUUCUUGACCUGGAUUCUCUCUUUUGGCUCCUUGUUCAGCUCCUUUCUGGUAGCUGAACCUCACCUUUUCUCUUUUCCUAGGCUGGCCCCUUGGGCCCAGAUUUCAACUGAUACUUCUGGCAGAAAAUGCUUGUACCAGUCUACGCCUAACAAUAAAGAACCCAGUUCCCAACUUCGACAUUUGGCUGGUGCUCCGGUGACGCCUGUCCCAAAAGAGAAAAGCCAAAGAAGUAAAUCUGAGUUACCUGAACAGAAAUUAAAAUUUCCCACAUAAAUAAAUCUCAUGAUUUCCAAUUUUCUCUCUUGACUUUAAUUUCUGUGGCUCACUGGCAUUGAGUCUUUUUUUUUUUCUUUACUAUCUGCAUCCUGAGUAUUUCCCAUAUGAUUUGUAAAUGGCUCUAGUAACCUCUAAGUAAACAAAGUGUUCAUUCAUUCAGCCAUUCUUUCACUCAUUUAUUCACUCAUCAAAAAUUAUGAAGUGCCUUGUAUGUGCUAAACAUUGUGUUAGGUGCCAGAAGAUAUAUAGAUAAAUAGAAUAUAUCCUU
rnacentral:lncRNA from 1 species